AGUGAACGCUGGCGGUAGGCCUAACACAUGCAAGUCGAACGGCAGCACAGUAAGAGCUUGCUCUUACGGGUGGCGAGUGGCGGACGGGUGAGGAAUACAUCGGAAUCUACUUUUUCGUGGGGGAUAACGUAGGGAAACUUACGCUAAUACCGCAUACGACCUACGGGUGAAAGCAGGGGAUCUUCGGACCUUGCGCGAUCGAAUGAGCCGAUGUCGGAUUAGCUAGUUGGCGGGGUAAAGGCCCACCAAGGCGACGAUCCGUAGCUGGUCUGAGAGGAUGAUCAGCCACACUGGAACUGGGACACGGUCCAGACUCCUACGGGAGGCAGCAGUGGGGAAUAUUGGACAAUGGGCGCAAGCCUGAUCCAGCCAUACCGCGUGGGUGAAGAAGGCCUUCGGGUUGUAAAGCCCUUUUGUUGGGAAAGAAAAGCAGCAGGUUAAUACCCCGCUGUUCUGACGGUACCCAAAGAAUAAGCACCGGCUAACUUCGUG
rnacentral:rRNA from 1 species